AUGCAGAAUUGGAAGAAGCUCAAGAGGCACAAGGAGAUGCAGAAUUGGAAGAAGCUCAAGAGGCACAAGGAGAUGCAGAAUUGGAAGAAGCUCAAGAGGCACAAGAAGAAACAGAAUUGGAAGAAGCUCAAGAGGCACAAGAAGAUGCAGAAUUGGAAGAAGCUCAAGAGGCACAAGGAGAUGCAUAAUUGCAAGAAGCUGAUGCACAUGGAAAUCCAAGAGGGAAGGACUUGA
rnacentral:rRNA from 1 species